ACGGGAGGCAGCAGUGGGGAAUCUUGCGCAAUGGGCGAAAGCCUGACGCAGCGACACCGCGUGGGGGACGAAGGCCUUUCAGGUCGUAAACCCCUUUCGGCAGGGACGAAGCGACACCGUGACGGUACCUGCAGAAGAAGCCUCGGCUAACUACGUGCCAGCAGCCGCGGUAACACGUAGGAGGCGAGCGUUGUCCGGAAUCAUUGGGCGUAAAGAGCGCGCAGGCGGCUUGGCAAGUCGGGUGUGAAAUCCCGGGGCUCAACCCCGUGACUGCAUUCGAUACUGUCAGGCUAGAGGUAGGUAGGGGAGAUCGGAAUUCCUGGUGUAGCGGUGAAAUGCGCAGAUAUCAGGAGGAACACCGGUGGCGAAGGCGGAUCUCUGGGCCUUACCUGACGCUCAGGCGCGAAAGCUAGGGGAGCGAACAGGAUUAGAUACCCUGGUA
rnacentral:rRNA from 1 species